AUCUUUGUGUUUGGGGGCAAUGACACAGCUAACGAGCUUUUAACCAAGGCGUGUCUAUUGCUGCUGGUUGAAAACUAUUUUCAAAUCCCUUCUUAAGCUUAAGACAACUCAAGUCUUUGAGAAUUACUGGAAGGACUCCCUUUAAAGUAAAGUC
rfam:Medicago truncatula strain A17 chromosome 3, whole genome shotgun sequence.